ensembl:lncRNA
GGGGGGGGGGGGGGGGGGGGGGGGAGACAGAUAUUAACCACAAGUGUACCUCUUUCUCCUUAAUCUAUACUACGCACUUCCAAAUGGUUCAUCCGCAUCUUUGCGUUCGUAUCCUCCCCCGGCUUCAAUGUCCAAAAAAAGGGGCAAUUUCAUAUCCAGAAAAGCAGGAGGAUCAGGGUCAAAGUUCAAAAAAAAAAAAAAAAAAAAAAAAAAAAAAAAGAAAAAAAAAAGGUUUUCCCACAGGACAGGAUAAACCAUUACAAACCAGACAGGGGGGAAUAUCAGACAGACGUCCCUGUAAUGCGAAACAGCCAUAAUGUGGUGCCACCAUCGGGACGAACCAAGUGCACAAUGCACGGGGGGGUGUCAGAGGCAGAGAAAAAUACAGUCGAUCGAUACUCGUUGCAUUUACUUAACCGUGGUUAUUUAUUGACAUAAUCCCAAGAAUGUCGGCAGAUGUGAUGGACUAUCAUAUAAAAUUUUUAAUUUGCCUUAUUACUAAUAUGCACUUAAAAAAAAAGAAAAGAAAAAAAAAAAAAAAGGAAUGGAGCCUACAUUUUACUGCAGUCAAGUGCACACGUCCGGCACGUCUGAUCCGGGGCGCUCCUGGUGAAAAUGAAAUGUCAAACAUUAUUUUUAAAUGCCUUGUUAAUCUUCAAUGAAAGCCUGCAAGACCGGAUAUAAGCGCUUGAGGAACGUUACAUAUCCGUGUCUUAUUCUAGAGGGCUCGUUAGGGAGGAAGUGUUAUUUUGGUCUCAAAGCCAAAUAAGAUUUGCAGCAGGGAGCUUCAUCACCGCAAAUUUAAUAUUGCCUCAAGCAAGGUAAGAGCAGUAGGCAGGGUAAAGGAGUAAGAGUUUUUGCGUUGUGAUGGUUAUUCCGAUUGUACGGGCGGGGAAAACUAUCCUUCUGCGAGCCCUGAACAUGAGAGCAUGAUCUGCUUCGGUCGCUCUAACAAAACACAGAGGGGGGAGAAAGAAAAAAAAAAGGGAAGGGUUGCUGGAGGAGUUGCUAAAAUGUGUAUUUAGGACUACACGUCUAUUUUAUUUUUUAGACGGAAACAAAUGAAAGAACUUGCACAUGCGGUUCUUUUUGGACGCGAUUUAGUAAAAAGCUUCCCGCGCCCUCAUUUUCUGGGUUAAAGCUCUGUGGGGAGAGAAGAAAGCAAGGUGGAGGGCAAGGUACAUCUUUGAAAAAGAGCUCUUCAGUUUCCCAAUGGAAAAAAGCCAAAGCCUUCUACCUUUCCUUAAAUGCUUGCAGGGGUUUGCCAGGCAACGAGCCAAGAAAAUGACUUUGACCCGACUGCCAAUCAAUUCGGGCAGCGCGGGGCCAAGACUAAACAGGCACUUUUUCGGCGAGUCUCAUUGGCUACAGCCGCCUCCUGCGGGCGGGGACGAGCACAGAAACGGGGCUGUUGACAAGGGAGAAGGGAAGGAGAGAGCUGGUGCACGACGCAUAUUGAAAACACGUGGCCAAUAGGAGCGCAGGUGAUUAGUUGGCCAAAUUACUCCGUUAAAUGCGUCGUUAAAACAACAGUCGACGUCGUGAGUUAAUCGGACGCCGGCGGAGGAAGCCACUGCCACUCCGCUGCAUUCCUGUCAGUUCCAUACAAAGAAAUCUUCACCUCGCUGUGUGUUGCUAGGCAGAUUGUGCUUCCUAGUCAAAAAGUCUAGAUAUUUUUUUUUUUUUUUAAAAAUACACAAACGAUGAACCAAAAAUCUUUCUGUAUGUUUAACCCCAAAAUUCCCUGUCUGGUGACAACCCGCGUUAUUCGUGGGCUCCAUUAGUGGUGAGAAAUCAGUCCAUUAAAAGAGAAGUCCUUGAUAACAAUGUCACAGCAUGAGUAGUGCUAAUUUAAUUAAUGUCGACUUUGAGAAAGGAAGGCAUCUCUUUGAGGGGCUCAGCCGACCCGAGGUCUCUCUUAAGCCCAGUUCAAUAGAACAAGACAUGACUUUGAGUCUUUUCCUCCUUUUUUUUUUUUUUUUUUUUUUUGCAGGGUCAGGAAUAUAACACACAUUCAAUUAAAACUGGAGGCUUAAUAAGUUUCUGAAUAAGAUGCAUUGAUUACCUGGAUUAAAUACUGCUCAGCUCGAGCAACUUCUUCAUCUAACAGUAGAAAACCAAUCGAUGCAUUAUGAAUCUCAAGCAUCUGACUCUGGCGAGCGUAAACGCAACCUCUUCUGCGUGACUCCAUAAACACCCUUGAAAUCGAUUAAAAAAUACAAAUAAAAACGCCAUUCAACAUGGACCGUUAGAGCGUCGCCCUAAUUGACCAGAGCGGUUAAGAUCAAUUUGAAUAAUGCUGAGACUUUAAUUACUAGUGCUUUAUUCGUGGGGGGUCAUAAUGCGAAUCUUUGCGAAGGGCACUGUGUUAUCAAGAAUAACGAUACGGAGAAAUAAUAAAACGCAAACAAAUGUGCGGUAAUUAAUUAACGAUCGUACUCGGCAGGGCUGGAAUCAAAUCACGCUGUCGGUAAUGUCUCUUCCGAUGGAAUUAAAACUCAACGCAAAAUGAUUUCUUUACACAAUAAAUAAAUAAAUAAAUACAUAGGAGUUCCACGGUCGUGAUAAAAUCGCCGUUUUACCCAUUUCUAACGUCGACGACUCUUGAGCAGCUUUCCUCAUUCGUCACACUGCGUAGUCGUGUUUCCUCGAGUAAUCCUCAGUACGGCAUCUCCUUGUCGUCUUCGGACAAGCGGAAAGAAAUUCCGAAAUGCCGCUAUGAUUAAGUAGAGGCGUUCGAUAAACGUCAUUCGUGAACUAGUGAACAUACCGACACCCGAGUUUCUAUAUGAAACAUCAGUAGCUUGUGUGUUAAAUCUUAGCCAUAUCAAUGCUCACUCCCAUGUCAUGUGAGUGAACUAGGCCUUGAAAUGUAAAGUAUAUAAAAACAUGAGCUUAAUAAAGACAAGGUCAUAUAAACAUACAGCCCACAGACUAUUUAUACUAUUUGUAUCAUACGUUACUGCUAUUAUCCGUGAUUAUUAUGAGGACUUGCACAUUACUGCGAUUCUCCGUCAUAUUAGAGUUAUUUACAACAGACUACUCUGCACAUCUAUAUUUACUGUAAUCCACUGUAUGUACCUACUGUCUCAUAUUUCACAUCUGUGUACUGCUUAUCUCAACCUACUGCACCUCAAUUCCUAAAUAAAUAGGAAUUUAACCUAACUGCUAUUUGCAUCACUGGUAUGCAUCAUUCUGUUUACCUUGACCCGUACACUGUUUUCUUAACUUAUCGCACCCUAACCUUAUUUAUUUCAUCUAACUCAUUUACUAUUUGCGCAACAAUAAAGGCGAACCUAACCUAACCUCACCUAUUUACAUCGAAUUCAUGGCCUGCUUCUUUCCGCUGCCCGUUUAAGUACCCUAAUUUAAAAUUCCCCAUGCCGAAACCGCAUCCCUCUACCGCUACGGCGAACGGAAUUAAGUAUAAAAAAAAAAAAAACCCGUUGGCAUUUUCCACCGCCUGAGAUGUUGUCGACUCAGCAAAAUGCUCGGAGAACCACAGCGGGAACGAUACACAAAGGCGUAAUUAUAAUUCUCCUCUGUGCUAUGCAGGAAAUUUACAGAACCAAAAUUGCUUUGCAUUUAUAGAACAGGAAAACGAUGACCUCCUCUCGGCCUGAGAAAGAUGUAAACAGUCUAGGUAGCGAUUAUAUGCACGGAUUAGUAGUGUUUUAUGAAGACGGGGAAGAAGAAAAAAAAAAAAAAGAAAAACAGCCCAGGUGAAAGGACACUGUUGAUCACAGAGCAACAGUGAGAAAAUCCUGCGCAUGACAUCCUGUGCUGGUUGUUAACGAAAAUGCACAGACGAUUCACGACGACACUUCAAUCCACCUUCAUAUUUACUCAGAUUACACCCUGGCGGUAUGUAGUUCUGGUCGAUUAUGAUGCACACGACACUGUGUCAUGGAUGUUUGGGUAAAGUUGGUAUCUGAGUAACGUACAGGAAAAUAUGAGCAGGACUGGUACAAAAGGUUUGGUUUGGUUACUCCUUAAGAGUAAACAUAUCCGGAUUUGCAUUUAUUUAAAAAAACAAAAAACAAAAAAAAAGUACUGCUGAAAUGCUAAAAAAAAAAAUGCCAAAGGAGAAAAAAAACAAAACAAGACAGAAGUUCUUAAUUUCUUAAUUUACGUUAUGUUCUCAAGACCGCGAUGAGAAUGUUUGCUUUUCGUCAUCCUUCGAGUUCAUACUGGGGCAUAAUCGAAACUUUAUGUUUGUCCAGCAUACGGUGAAAUGUGCUUUUGGUCCAACAUGUAGUGCGCCCACCAGAGCUCUGUAGCGUAAGCAAAGUAAACAGGUUUAAAAAAGCAUGCCUGUAAUGGCAUUACCACUGGGUCCCCCUGCUGUGUUACAUGUUCUCAGCCUCUUUUGUUUGGUGUUAACCCAUUAAAUCCCACAUAAGAGGCCAUUGAGACGAGUGUCGUGUACCCUGGGGGGCCACUUUGUUUGGAACAAAGACCUUAAAUGGGUUACACACCACUGCAACUGAUCCUCCCCGGUUGUUUCCUUGGGUUUGUAUUAUUCUUAGACCGUGCUCCUAAACAAAACAUUAAAGGUGAAGUAUGUAAUGUCAAGUGACAUUACUCUACUUCUCAAACUAGCUAGCAGUAGCAAGAGCUCUGCCUUGGAACUUUCCAGACCUUUUCAGUGUAUUACAAUUUACAACCCAAUUCCAAACAAUACUUAUAAAAAUAAAUAAAUAAAUAAAUAAAUUUACACUUUGAAUCUUGACCUCUGUUAAUGUCAUGAAUUGCCGGAGGGAGUUCUGGACUUCCCAGAUUCCCAGCAGCCACUGCACGGCUGCAACACGGUCACAUGACCACCUACACCUGAUCCGUAUUCCUGUUAACUAGCACUUGUGUGUAUAUAGUCACUGUUUGCACCGCGCUCCUCGUCUUGCUUUGUUUGUCCUCGAGAUCGUGCGCUCUCGCCUCGUGCGUCUUGUCCUGUUAUGUUUGGUCCUCGUCUCUAUUAAAACCUUCGAUCUGCACGUGCGUCCGUCUCCGCCUCUCCAGGUAGACUUGACCAUCUGACACUUUUUGCACUUUAGCUUAUUGUAAAACCAUGCUGGAACUCUCCUCCAGUGCAACUUUGAAGACAGACAAUACUGACCAUGUUUUCAGAACUGAACCAGAAUCUGGGAAGGCUGGUGUACUGGUUGCACACGAUCAGACAGCCACGUGGCAUUUGUCUCUACAUGCUAUGGACACUCUUUGAGAAUCUGAACAUUUCCUGCCAAGAGACGCCUUUACGUUAAAUCAACCUCUGGGUCCUGUAACAGAGACGAUGUUUUAGCUAUGAUAAUUGUCAAAUAGAAUUAGACGUGAACAGCUGGCAGAGAAGAGUCAUUAUGGGAGAACGGCUAUACAACCUACGCAAGGUAAACACGACGCUGGUGUAAUUACUGCACGUCUGUCCUCAAUGAUGAAUGAUGGCUGGCCUUGAAACCGAUGGCAAAUUACCAUUUUAAAAAUAGCCCGUGACGUGAACGGGUCAGCGAAGCCGUGACUCGAACAGCCUCUGUGUAUAUUUAUAUAGGAACGGACACACCGAGGGCUAAUGAGGCCCAGUAACCCAAUUAGUACCUCGUCCUGAUCCUGCUCCAAACUAGACCUCCAUCUCCAGCGACCGGAGUCGAUCCCAAAAGGUGGUACAGAGCUCAACCCUUCCAAGCCGCCAAACACGAGGCUCUCUAAACAGAGGCCUUCGGCUAACCGGACCCGCUCCGGCCUAAUGAGACUAGGACUAUGAGAAAGACUACCACAAGAAUGCUGUGUUUUCAAGAAACGAUAAAAAUUACUGAAUUCGUUUUGCAAACAAAUCCAGCGGUUUAAAUCUCGUACCUGGCUUCCGAGCACAACUCUGGGGAAGCUUCGUGGACAUUGCAGAAAUACGUCACAUUCACACAGCAAGUCGAGCACUAUAUCAUUAAACGCCAUUGUAUGGGCAAGCUAAUGUUUGCGUUUGAUCUCGCGGCCCAGCUGGAGUGCUCUUGACUCUAACCAGUGGCACUCUUAAACAGAGAUCAGACGAACGCCUCUGCUUUUCAGAUAGUUUAUGAAACAUGAGGGACUCUGUCAGAGCACACAAAGACAAGUUUCCUCUCGUGGUUCCGCUAACAAAGUCCCCCCUGUCCUCACCUUAAAUCCCUUUUGGCACAAAUUCCUGACUCCUUGCCAGGAUCGUCUUCUCACAUAAGGAAAAAGAAAAAAAAAAAAAAAACCCAACCAACAAUGGAAGAGUAGCGCCAAAAGCACAUCGCUCGAGUCUAUGAGCUCCUGUUUUACUGCCUCUUCGAUAAAAGACGCCAAAGUCAGACGACGACGAAUCAACAGAUGCCUUUUUCAGCCCCAUUACCCCGGACCACAACAAACACCUAAUGACACCGCCACCGGGGACGUUCACGGAGGUGCGGUUAUCGCUUACACUUAGCCGGAUUUACUCGUGUUUUUAAAUAUUUAAAAUGUUUUGAUGAUUAAAUAUUAAUCUGCACUUUCUUUUUAAUCUUAUUUCUGCUUAGCAUGUAGAUUCACACAGAGUGUGAAUAUAACCGAAGCUCAUAUCAGGACAAAAAUGUCAUUAUAAUGAAAUAUAACGUGCGUCAUUAAUUCUUUUAAUUUUAAGGUAAAAGUUUAAAAAAAAAAGAAAAAAAAAGAAAAGAAAAGAAAAAAAAAACUUAUUAAAAUGACUCACUAGGCAUAUUUAUUCAUUUUUUAAAAAUGUUAUUCAACUAAUCUGAAAUAAAUUUACUGUAGAACCACUCUUUUUGUCGCAUUCUGUGGGGUUUAAAAAAAAAAAAAAAAAUUUGUAAAGAAAUAAUCAGAGAAUGUCCUUAAAUAAAAAAAAAGGCUUCUGUCAUUUAUUUUCCAAGCAUCCGUUCUCAAAGGGUGGUUUUUCUAGGAUACUUCUUUGUGUCCUACAAAAUUGAAGUAGUGUGUUUGUGGCCGUCCAGUCCACAGUUAAUUUUGUGCAGACUUCAGAAAGAAAGAAAGAAAGAAAGAAAAAAAAAAAAAGUAGUUUCAAGACUUUUUAUUUAUUUAUUUAUUUAUUAUUUCUUACGUAUAAGAUUCAUAAUGAAACACAGUCAUUAAUUGUUGGGGGAAAAAAAUAAUACAUGAAAAAAUAGGAAUAAAAUAAAAGUCUAAAAAAAAAAGAAUCCUAUCUAAAAAAUUUUUAUAAGUAUAUAUAAUAUAUAAAUUGUCUAAAAUACCGCUGGUUGUCGGAUUUAGGUUAAUUGCAUUUUUAAAAAAUAAAACCAGAAGUAGAAACAUUUAAUGUAAGUGAAAUCUACAAUGUUUAACGGUAUAUUCUUUUACACUGGAGUUCAAAGAAAAUGGGAAACUAUGGAGGGGGAGGGAGCUUGCUAGAAUUCUCAAGGACAAGCAAACAAUUUCUUUGGAUAAGAAGAAGAAUAUAAUCAAAACAAAUCCAGAAAUAACUUCAACCAUUGCCUUCCCUGUCCUCCUGCUUUUAAGCUCCACAUUCAAAAACCCACCAUUCCAGCCGCAUGAGCUAAAUGCGAGUAAUGUCCUGAGAUCUGCCCUGUGUUGCGGCUCUUUUCCUCUUUGUGCACUGCACCGAGGUUCAUUUCAGCUCCGUAUUAAUCCUGCCGCUGCUCGGCGAGCAGGUGAACUCAGCCGAAGGCUUUCCCACGAUCCGGGAGCAAAUCCGCUGCCCUGAGCCCUUCCUAAAAGACGGCCAUCUGUCCGCUCUGCUUUCACUCUGGGAGGGCAAGCGUCAGCUGCAUGACCAAAUUCAACGUUCCAACACUUCCCCCACAGUCACAACCCCCUGAACCUUAAACGCACGCUGUCCACAAGUCAUGAGAAGCCAGGCGUUAAAGACGUUUGCUCUUCGUUCGUUUUUUUUUGUUGUUUUUUUUUAAAAAGAAGGACGUAAUAUGAAACCUUAAAAAAAAAAAAAAAAAAGUCUCACAGCAACAAACGACUGUAUAAAAAGCGACAGUAUUUUUAAAGCGUUGAACUAACUAAACAUCAUGAAGAGAAAAAAAAAAAGGAUACCACUUUCUAAAACAAACAAUAUAAUCACUAUGCUUUCAUUUCUAAUUCAUCUUUUCCAAAAAAAUAAGAGAUGCCAAACAACCUAUGCGAUCCAAAACACAGAAACCCACGGCCAUACACAAAUAAAUACACUCUCGCAGACGGACAAAUCUUCCUCCGCGGAUAAUAUCUUCUUCUAAAAUAAGAAACUGGUAUCACCGAGAUCAUGUGACACACUCUACCUCUGUACCUCCUCCCUCUUUUUUUUUCUUCCCCCCUCUCCGAAUCUUCCAUGUGCUAUCAUUUUUGUUUUGCUCUCAAAAAGCUGGCACGCUGUUUGAGGAGUAUGUCCUGGACCGUCCUCGUCCGCUUAAAAUGCGUGACAUUGCCUCGGCGGGAGCAUGAGAACCAGAGGCUCCUCAAUAGCGAGGUCUCCAUGCUCUGGCCCGUAACCAUGGAAGCAGAUGCCUCCUCUUACCUCCCGGUGGCCACGGGGCUGCACACCGAUUCAAAAAGCGGGUCCCGCCUCGAUUUCUCUUCAUCCCCUAGCGAACUUGUCUGCUCUUCAAUAGGGGCAAGUCACCGAGCAGGUCAUUGGUCUAGACUUCGUUUGCACGGUCCAGGGAGCAGCCUUGAUGUAACCCUUGCUCUCCGGCUGCAGGCGUGAGACUGCGGACUGCGGGACGUCAGAGACGCCGAAUUGAAAAGGAGCCCUGUCUGAUUUCGCCAUUGUGCCUUUUCAUUCAUCGAUCGAAUGAAUAUCGAACCUUCUGUUGGUGCAUGUGUGAAACAGAUAGCUUAGCAAGCAUUUUUUUUUUUUUCCCUCCCACCUCCUCCUUCUCCGGUAAGGACCAGCCAAGUGGCCUGCUCCUGUUCCUAUUCCCCAUUUAAUUAAUUACAUAAACUUUUCUUUAAAAAAAAUAAAAAUAAAUCUAACUGUAUAAGUUUUCUCGUGACACUUAAUCGAACUUUUUUUUCCUUACUUUUAAAACAUAAGUACGUAUUCAAUUACUGUUGCUGGUCAUCUUAUGACUUGGAACUCAUUUUUCACUUGCUUCCUACAGAAGAUUUCAUUACUGUUAUUAAUAACCUCUAUUUUAAAAAAUAACCGCACGUUAUUACCGAACACGUCCGGGAGUUUAUCCGACACGAAAUUAAAACCAUGAAUCGAAAUACGGCAUCUCAUGAAUACCGUAGACUUUUCACCUUCAAAUUCUUGUUCCAACAUCCUAAUUUCCAUUUUUAGAAAACAAACAAAAAAAAAAAAACAACAGUCGGAUUAUAACGCGUUUGAAAGGUUUUAACCGACAUAUUAUAUAAGGAGAACAUGUUGAUGUUAAAAAUAUAUACUAAAAUAAGUAAUAAGUGGUAAAAUAUCAUAAAUAAGUGUGCACAAGAUGUUAAAAUGUGACUCCUGUAAUCUUGUUGCUUUAAAAAUUUAGGUUUUUUUUUUUUUUUUAACAAAAAACAAAUUAAAAGUCAGUGAAGGCAAAAGAUAUCAUGUGAUAUUGCCCUGAGGGACACUUCCUAGUUUAAAUAUAAAGACACACACACAUAGAUUUGUAUAUUAAAACUAUUUUACAGCUGUAGAUUAAUCUGUACUGUAGAAGCUCAUAAUGUAAAAUUACUCCCGAGUAUUUUAUUUAAAUUUGUAAUACUUGUUUAAUUUUAAAACUUCAAUAUUCUACAGCAUUAGCAUUCAUCUAUAUAUAUAUAUAUAU